rnacentral:rRNA from 1 species
UGGAGGAAAGCAGGGGAUCGUAAGACCUUGCGCUUUUGGAGCGGCCGAUGUCUGAUUAGCUAGUUGGUGGGGUAAUGGCUUACCAAAGCUUCGAUCAGUAGCUGGUCUGAGAGGACGGCCAGCCACACUGGGACUGAGACACGGCCCAGACUCCUACGGGAGGCAGCAGUGGGGAAUUUUGGACAAUGGGCGCAAGCCUGAUCCAGCCAUGCCGCGUGAGUGAAGAAGGCCUUCGGGUUGUAAAGCUCUUUCAGCCGGGAAGAAAAGGCUGCGACUAAUAAUCGCAGUUCAUGACGGUACCGGAAGAAGAAGCACCGGCUAACUACGUGCCAGCAGCCGCGGUAAUACGUAGGGUGCGAGCGUUAAUCGGAAUUACUGGGCGUAAAGGGUGCGCAGGCGGUUUUGUAAGUCAGAUGUGA